rnacentral:rRNA from 1 species
GGUCAAGUUGUCAAGGGCGAACGGUGAAUGCCUUGGCACCAGGAGCCGAUGAAGGACGUGGGAGGCCGCGAUAGGCCUGGGGGAGCUGUCUACCAAGCUGUGAUCCCAGGGUGUCCGAAUGGGGAAACCCGGCACCAGUCAUGUGGUGUCACCUACACCUGAACACAUAGGGUGUAUGGAGGGAACGCGGGGAAGUGAAACAUCUCAGUACCCGUAGGAAGAGAAAACAAUUUAGUGAUUCCGUGAGUAGUGGCGAGCGAAAGCGGAUCGAGGCUAAACCGGCUGCGUGUGAUACCUGUCAGGGGUUGCGUGGUCGGGGUUGUGGGACCUUGCUCGACAAGCUGACACUUGUUGAAGGAGUUACAAAGCCAGUUGCUAGCCGAACAGUCUGGAAUGGCUGACCGUAGGCGGUGAAAGUCCGGUAGGCGAAAGUGGCUGGCCUCCUGUGAGUGUUCCCGAGUAGCGGCGGACCCCUGAAAUCUGCCGUGAAUCUGCCAGGACCACCUGGUAAGCCUAAAUACUUCCUGGUGACCGAUAGCGGACAAGUACCGUGAGGGAAUGGUGAAAAGUACCCCGGGAGGGGAGUGAAAUAGUACCUGAAACCGUUCGCCUACAAUCCGUCGGAGCCUUGCGGGGUGACGGCGUGCCUUUUGAAGAAUGAGCCUGCGAGUUAGUGGCAUGUGGCGAGGUUAACCCGUGUGGGGGAGCCGUAGCGAAAGCGAGUCUGAAUAGGGCGAUUCAGUCGCGUGUCCUAGACCCGAAGCGGAGUGAUCUAGCCAUGGGCAGGCUGAAGCGCGGGUAAGACCGCGUGGAGGGCCGAACCCACCAACGUUGAAAAGUUGGGGGAUGACCUGUGGUUAGGGGUGAAAGGCCAAUCAAACUCCGUGAUAGCUGGUUCUCCCCGAAAUGCAUUUAGGUGCAGCGUCGCGUGUUUCUUGCCGGAGGUAGAGCACUGGAUGGUCUAGGGGGCCCACAAGCUUACCGAAACCAGCCAAACUCCGAAUGCCGGUAAGUGAGAGCGCGGCAGUGAGACUGCGGGGGAUAAGCUUCGUAGUCGAGAGGGAAACAGCCCAGAUCACCAGCUAAGGCCCCUAAGCGUGUGCUAAGUGGAAAAGGAUGUGGGGUCGCACAGACAACCAGGAGGUUGGCUUAGAAGCAGCCACCCUUUAAAGAGUGCGUAAUAGCUCACUGGUCAAGUGGUUCCGCGCCGACAAUGUAGCGGGGCUCAAGCACACCGCCGAAGCUGUGGCAUUCACAUUUCAACCUCGCUUGGACUUGAUUCCUUGUGCAGGUGUGUGGAUGGGUAGGGGAGCGUCGUGCCGCGAGUGAAGCAACGGGGUGACCCAGUUGUGGACGCG